rnacentral:rRNA from 1 species
GAAUUUUGGACAAUGGGGGCAACCCUGAUCCAGCCAUCCCGCGUGUGCGAUGAAGGCCUUCGGGUUGUAAAGCACUUUUGGCAGGGAAGAAAAGGCUCUGGCUAAUACCUGGAGCUGCUGACGGUACCUGCAGAAGAAGCACCGGCUAACUACGUGCCAGCAGCCGCGGUAAUACGUAGGGUGCAAGCGUUAAUCGGAAUUACUGCGCGUAAAGCGUGCGCAGGCGGUUCGGCGAGAAGGAUGUGCAAUCCCAGGGCUUAACCUUGGAACGGCAUUCUUAGCUGCCGGGCUGGAGUAUGUCAGAGGGGGGUAGAAUUCCGCGUGUAGCAGUGAAAUGCGUAGAGAUGCGGAGGAAUACCGAUGGCGAAGGCAGCCCCCUGGGAUAAUACUGACGCUCAUGCACGAAAGCGUGGGGAGCAAAC